GGCUCGUCUGAAGGUAGUGAGUUAUCUCAACUGAUUUGUUCACAGUCAGUUACAGAUUGAACUUACUAUUUUUCCCUUCUCACUAUUGCACUUGUCAAAGAA
rnacentral:Y_RNA from 1 species